CCUACGGGAGGCAGCAGUGGGGAAUAUUGCACAAUGGGCGAAAGUCUGAUGCAGCAACGCCGCGUGAGCGAUGAAGGCCUUCGGGUCGUAAAGCUCUGUCCUCAAGGAAGAUAAUGACGGUACUUGAGGAGGAAUCCCCGGCUAACUACGUGACAGCAGCCGCCGUAAUACGUCGUGGGCUAGGGUUAUCCGGAAUGACGGGGCGGAAAGGGUGCGGCGGUGGUUUCUUAAGUCAGAGGUGAAAGGCUACGGCUCAACCGUAGUAAGCCUUUGAAACUGGGGAACUUGAGUGCAGGAGAGGAGAGUGGAAUUCCUAGUGUAGCGGUGGAAUGCGUAGAUAUUAGGAGGAACACCAGUGGCGAAGGCGGCUCUCUGGACUGUAACUGACACUGAGGCACGAAAGCGUGGGGAGCAAACAGGAUUAGAUACCCCGGUAGUC
rnacentral:rRNA from 1 species